UUGUAUGUCCUUAGGCAGAUCACUUAAAGUAUCUGCUUCAGUUUUCCAGUCAAUGAAUAGUCUGACUACAUUUAUUGAGAGGGUUUGUUAGCUGUAAAAUAUUGAGCUCCUCUGAUGAAAGGUGUUAGAAAGGUCAAGAAAUAGUAGCUUAUUAUUGAAGUCUAGCUUGAACCAAAAACUCAGAUCCUGAAAGUACAGCUGGACCUGCUUCUAAAUAUCACAAUUGAUUUCUGAUUUAUUAGGCAUCGUGAAAACAUUUGUUCAGAAUCUGACUGGAACAAAAAGAACAGCACCUUCUUCUGAACACAGACCUGUGCAGAAAGGGAAUAUAUUUCUUUUAUAAUAUAACCACAAGGGGGCCUGUGACACCUGUAGCAGACUAGACCCUGAUUAAAGAACAAAGCAUGAACAGUGAAAGGAAAUAGUAUCCAUAUGCAUUAAUAGCGUGAUGAGGACUGGAGCCAGCAGGCAGCAGGCAGGCAUGGAUAAAAAGUGGCUACAGUCAGCUCUUCAGCUCGUGGCCAGCAGGUACCAGAACGGACCCCAGAGGUGGCUGCAUGGCAGCGGCAGUCAGUAUGACCAUUAAAGCACUGUGGGAUGUGAGGCAUUUGCCAAAGCACAUGCCCUGAGUUCUGGGUUUCCAUUGUUGGCAGCAAGAUCAGAGAAGACACAGAUGAAAUGCCACGCAGCAAAGACCGGAGCCACAGUGAUGGGAAGCAGCAUGCAGCAGAUAUGCCAAACCCCUCUGUAUGGGCUCUGCCCUUGUCUCCCUGCCACUUCCUGCGAGAUUAAUGCCGGGAACACACAGCAAACACCCCAGCAGAAAUAAAUACUUCCCCCUCCAGCUGGGAUUUCCAACAAGCUCUGCGGAUACCUUCCUCUGUGGCAAAGCCCAGAGCUCCCAGGACAUGGAGGGGGUGCCUUGUACUGUACAGCACUUCCAAACAGGAGGAUUGCAUGGAUUUAUGGGCACUCCAGGUAAUAUUUCUGCCUCAGUGCUUGGAAGGAGAGAAUUCAAUCACAUGGCAUCUUAUUUUCAGAUGCUUCCAGUAUCUUUUCCUGUGGCUGCUUUGCAGCAGCAACAUCCACACUCUUCCUUCCUUGUACUUUAACACUUGGAGGGUCUCCUCGAUUUCUUCAGCCUCGGACUGGCACAUCCAUCUUUCCUUUGUCUCUGGAGUCCUCUUUGGACAGUGCUGACGUUCUGAAUACAGCAAGAGUCUCCCAAGUCAACCAGACACACAGCCUGGAUCCACACUGUGCCUCAGAGUGGUUCUGUGAAAAGAGGCUUGGGGGGUAGCAGGUUGCACUGCGGAUCCUGAUCCAGCCCUGAUUAGCAGGAAGGACUGUGAAUGUGAGAGUGGCACCCCAAAGCACAGGUGUUUUACCUGGGGAUAUGCACAAGUGCAAAGAGUCCAGUGGUUGGAAAAGGAGGAUGCAUCACAGGAGACUUUGGCUUUGUUUCUCUCUGCCACUGACAUCCUUGUAUGACUCGAGUCACAUCACUUUGGUUUGUAGGUGCAGAGGGAGGGUGACACCCGUUUCUGAAAAGCACUCUGAAAGGGCGCAGUCAAGCAGCGUCAGCAUGGUUGGAAAGGAAAGCCUCAGAAGGCAUCUGGUCAAGCAUCUCAACAGCCACUGGUCCCUUGAACCUUGGAGUAGAAGGACACUCAGCACCACGCAGAGUCAGGUCACAACAUCUCCUACCUGGGCCAUCUGUGGCAGAAAUAGCUGGUUAACAAACCCCAGGCACAGCAGGAUGCAACAACAGUGAAAUGCACGGGUUCUUUUGCAGCUGGGGCCAAUGCUGCGCCACCCUGGCCAGGAGAACUCAGGACACCGUGCCACCCCUCCUCGUGGCUCCGUACAAAGCAGGAACAAGCAAAUGAUGCAAGUGACAAUACUCGUGGCGAAGAGCACGCUGGCUGGGGUCAACACCCUGGGUGAGCAGCACUUCCUCGGUCCUGCUGCGAUUGUUAGCCUGAAGGUCCAGUCAGCCGUCCAGUGACCAUGCAUGCUCCCCAGCAGUCGUAUUUCUUUUUCCCGUUCCAGCAUCCAGACGUAUGUAUUGUGAGGCCUUUGCUUUCCCCUACCUGGACUGAUAUCCUCUUGUGUGUGCCAGCUUUCUGCCUGUGAGAGGGAUGUGCUCAGGAGCAAAGGAUUUUGCUUUGCUGUUGCUGUGACCAGGGGAAGGGAGCACUAAUAAACGUCUAGAGGGCAGGCGUGUGCAGCGCAUAAUCAAUAUUUCAUGCCAUCCUCCUAAACAGACAGGCAAGCUGGGGGGUUUUGACAGCCCACAGAGGCCUUGCUAUUGCUGAAUUGCCUAACUCCCUGCCCCUGUCAAGCAGAAGAGGCACUCCCAGAAAUAACAAAUGGUUUUGAACCUCAGCGAGUGCUGGCGAAGUGUCCUGAUGCAGAACAUCAGGGUCUCCCUCUGGGUCAGAGCUUCACGCUGGGCCAUGUGCAGAGGAGCUUUAUGUAGUGGGGAGGGAGCUUGCUUUUGUUUUAAUGCAGUGCCAGACCGAGAGCCCUGAAGAAGGGACCUCUCUGCACACACAAACAGCGUGAAAGCCACUGCCUCAGCUGUGCUUUUUGCCUCCAACCCCAUCCCCACCCGUGGCUGUCACUGGGAAAUCUCCCAAAGCUGCUGCCAGGUGGUAGAAAUGAUGGGAGCAUGGUGUGGCCUGGGCACAGGCUAUUUGCCAGUCUCAGCCAGUUCUGUUCUGAGCUCGGUUGCUAGAUUGAUGGUGCAAACACCCGGCCGUCGCCGAUGCUGUGCUGCUUUUAGAGAGAAUUGUCCAAAGUGCCUGGUGUGGACGUGUUAGCCUUGCAAUGGAUGGCCCAGGUUUGAGAGGGAGAAGGAAACGUGUCUAAUGCACUCCUUUGGCUUUUCUCCUGGGUCUGCCAAAUAGAGGAGCAUCUGGGGUCUAGUAUGGAGGUCGUGUUUGUCCCGUGAGGCAUGAUCCGCCCCAUUCAUUUGACCCAAACCUGCAAA